AUUGAACGCUGGCGGCAUGCUUUACACAUGCAAGUCGAACGGUAACAGGCCGCAAGGUGCUGACGAGUGGCGAACGGGUGAGUAAUGCAUCGGAACGUGCCCAGUCGUGGGGGAUAACUACUCGAAAGAGUAGCUAAUACCGCAUACGAUCUAUGGAUGAAAGCGGGGGACCGUAAGGCCUCGCGCGAUUGGAGCGGCCGAUGUCAGAUUAGGUAGUUGGUGGGGUAAAGGCUCACCAAGGCAACGAUCUGUAGCUGGUCUGAGAGGACGACCAGCCACACUGGGACUGAGACACGGACCAGACUCCUACGGGAGGCAGCAGAGGGGAAUUUUGGACAAUGGGCGCAAGCCUGAUCCAGCAAUGCCGCGUGCAGGAAGAAGGCCUUCGGGUUGUAAACUGCUUUUGUACGGAACGAAACGGCUCUGGUUAAUACCCGGGGUUAAUGACGGUACCGGAAGAAUAAGCACCGGCUAACUACGUG
rnacentral:rRNA from 1 species